rnacentral:rRNA from 1 species
GUAGGUGGCAAGCGUUGUCCGGAAUUAUUGGGCGUAAAGCGCGCGCAGGCGGUCCUUUAAGUCUGAUGUGAAAGCCCACGGCUCAACCGUGGAGGGUCAUUGGAAACUGGGGGACUUGAGUACAGAAGAGGAAAGCGGAAUUCCAAGUGUAGCGGUGGAAUGCGUAGAGAUUUGGAGGAACACCAGUGGCGAAGGCGGCUUUCUGGUCUGUAACUGACGCUGAGGCGCGAAAGCGUGGGGAGCAAACAGGAUUAGAUACCCUGGUAGUCCACGCCGUAAACGAUGAGUGCUAAGUGUUAAGGGGGUUUCCCGCCCCCCUUAGUGCUGCAGCUAACGCAUUAAGCACUCCGCCUGGGGAGUACGGCCGCAAGGCUG